UAAAACUCAAAUGAAUUGACGGGGGCCCGCACAAGCGGUGGAGCAUGUGGUUUAAUUCGAUGCAACGCGAAGAACCUUACCUGGUCUUGACAUCCACAGAACUUUCCAGAGAUGGAUUGGUGCCUUCGGGAACUGUGAGACAGGUGCUGCAUGGCUGUCGUCAGCUCGUGUUGUGAAAUGUUGGGUUAAGUCCCGCAACGAGCGCAACCCUUAUCCUUUGUUGCCAGCGGUCCGGCCGGGAACUCAAAGGAGACUGCCAGUGAUAAACUGGAGGAAGGUGGGGAUGACGUCAAGUCAUCAUGGCCCUUACGACCAGGGCUACACACGUGCUACAAUGGCGCAUACAA
rnacentral:rRNA from 1 species